GCUAUGUUGGCCGGGCGACGGUUGUCCCGGUUUAAGCGUGUAGGCUGGUUUUCCAGGCAAAUCCGGAAAAUCAAGGCUGAGGCGUGAUGACGAGGCACUACGGUGCUGAAGCAACAAAUGCCCUGCUUCCAGGAAAAGCCUCUAAGCAUCAGGUAACAUCAAAUCGUACCCCAAACCGACACAGGUGGUCAGGUAGAGAAUACCAAGGCGCUUGAGAGAACUCGGGUGAAGGAACUAGGCAAAAUGGUGCCGUAACUUCGGGAGAAGGCACGCUGAUAUGUAGGUGAAGUCCCUCGCGGAUGGAGCUGAAAUCAGUCGAAGAUACCAGCUGGCUGCAACUGUUUAUUAAAAACACAGCACUGUGCAAACACGAAAGUGGACGUAUACGGUGUGACGCCUGCCCGGUGC
rnacentral:rRNA from 1 species